rnacentral:misc_RNA from 1 species
UCCAUCCAAUAUCUGACUGAGCAU